CUUAUCAAGAGUGGCGGAGGGUACGGCCCUGUGAAGCCCGGCAACCUGCUUCGUUCUUCGGAGUAAGGUGCCAAUUCCGGCGUGAGACGAGAGAUGAG
rnacentral:ncRNA from 1 species